rnacentral:rRNA from 1 species
GAUGAACGCUGGCGGCGUGCCUAAUACAUGCAAGUCGAGCGAACAGACGAGGAGCUUGCUCCUCUGACGUUAGCGGCGGACGGGUGAGUAACACGUGGAUAACCUACCUAUAAGACUGGGAUAACUUCGGGAAACCGGAGCUAAUACCGGAUAAUAUAUUGAACCGCAUGGUUCAAUAGUGAAAGACGGUUUUGCUGUCACUUAUAGAUGGAUCCGCGCCGCAUUAGCUAGUUGGUAAGGUAACGGCUUACCAAGGCAACGAUGCGUAGCCGACCUGAGAGGGGGAUCGGCCACACUGGAACUGAGACACGGUACAGAAUCCUAUGGGAGGCAGCAGUAGGGAAUCUUCCGCAAUGGGCGAAAGCCUGACGGAGCAACGCCGCGUGAGUGAUGAAGGUCUUCGGAUCGUAAAACUCUGUUAUUAGGGAAGAACAAAUGUGUAAGUAACUAUGCACGUCUUGACGGUACCUAAUCAGAAAGCCACGGCUAACUACGU